rnacentral:rRNA from 1 species
AUUGAACGCUGGCGGCAUGCUUUACACAUGCAAGUCGAACGGCAGCGGGGUAGUGCUUGCACUACUGUCCGGCGAGUGGCGAACGGGUGAGUAAUAUAUCGGAACGUACCGAGUAAUGGGGGAUAACCAAUCGAAAGAUUGGCUAAUACCGCAUACGUCCUGAGGGAGAAAGCGGGGGAUCGCAAGACCUCGCGUUAUUCGGGCGGCCGAUAACUGAUUAGCUAGUUGGUGGGGUAAAGGCCUACCAAGGCGACGAUCAGUAGCGGGUCUGAGAGGACGAUCCGCCACACUGGGACUGAGACACGGCCCAGACUCCUACGGGAGGCAGCAGUGGGGAAUUUUGGACAAUGGGGGCAACCCUGAUCCAGCCAUGCCGCGUGUAUGAAGAAGGCCUUCGGGUUGUAAAGUACUUUUGUUAGGGAAGAAAAGGGAAGUGCUAAUACCACUUUUUGCUGACGGUACCUAAAGAAUAAGCACCGGCUAACUACGUGCCAGCAGCCGCGGUAAUACGUAGGGUGCGAGCGUUAAUCGGAAUUACUGGGCGUAAAGCGAGCGCAGACGGUUAUUUAAGCAGGAUGUGAAAUCCCCGGGCUUAACCUGGGAACUGCGUUCUGAACUGGAUAGCUAGAAUGUGUCAGAGGGGGGUAGAAUUCCACGUGUAGCAGUGAAAUGCGUAGAGAUGUGGAGGAAUACCGAUGGCGAAGGCAGCCCCCUGGGAUAACACUGACGUUCAUGCUCGAAAGCGUGGGUAGCAAACAGG